AGAUUGAACGCUGGCGGCAUGCCUUACACAUGCAAGUCGAACGGCAGCACGGGAGCAAUCCUGGUGGCGAGUGGCGAACGGGUGAGUAAUACAUCGGAACGUGCCCAAUCGUGGGGGAUAACGCAGCGAAAGCUGUGCCAAUACCGCAUAAGAUCUACGGAUGAAAGCAGGGGAUCGCAAGACCUUGCGCGAAUGGAGCGGCCGAUGGCAGAUUAGGUAGUUGGUGAGGUAAAGGCUCACCAAGCCUUCGAUCUGUAGCUGGUCUGAGAGGACGACCAGCCACACUGGGACUGAGACACGGCCCAGACUCCUACGGGAGGCAGCAGGUGGGGAAUUUGGACAAGUGGGACGAAGCCUGAUCCAGCCAGU
rnacentral:rRNA from 1 species